rnacentral:rRNA from 1 species
AGGGUUUGAUCAUGGCUCAGGACGAACGCUGGCGGCGUGCCUAAUACAUGCAAGUAGAACGCUGAAGGAGGAGCUUGCUUCUCCGGAUGAGUUGCGAACGGGUGAGUAACGCGUAGGUAACCUGCCUGGUAGCGGGGGAUAACUAUUGGAAACGAUAGCUAAUACCGCAUAACAGUAGAUAUUGCAUGAUAUCUACUUGAAAGGUGCAAUUGCAUCACUACCAGAUGGACCUGCGUUGUAUUAGCUAGUUGGUGAGGUAACGGCUCACCAAGGCGACGAUACAUAGCCGACCUGAGAGGGUGAUCGGCCACACUGGGACUGAGACACGGCCCAGACUCCUACGGGAGGCAGCAGUAGGGAAUCUUCGGCAAUGGACGGAAGUCUGACCGAGCAACGCCGCGUGAGUGAAGAAGGUUUUCGGAUCGUAAAGCUCUGUUGUAAGAGAAGAACGAGUGUGAGAGUGGAAAGUUCACACUGUGACGGUAUCUUACCAGAAAGGGACGGCUAACUACGUGCCAGCAGCCGCGGUAAUACG